CAGUAGCCACGGUAAUACGUAGGGUGCGAGCGUUAAUCGGAAUUACUGGGCGUAAAGCGUGCGCAGGCGGUUCGUUAAGACAGAUGUGAAAUCCCCGGGCUUAACCCGGGAACUGCAUUUGUGACUGGCGAGCUAGAGUAUGGCAGAGGGGGGUAGAAUUCCACGUGUAGCAGUGAAAUGCGUAGAGAUGUGCAGGAAUACCGAUGGCGAAGGCAGCCCCCUGGGCCAAUACUGACGCUCAUGCACGAAAGCGUGGGGAGCAAACAGGAUUAGAUACCCCGGUAGUCCCUGUCUCUUAUAC
rnacentral:rRNA from 1 species